GACGAACGCUGGCGGCGUGCUUAACACAUGCAAGUCGAACGGAAAGGCCCUGCUUUUGUGGGGUGCUCGAGUGGCGAACGGGUGAGUAACACGUGAGUAACCUGCCCUUGACUUUGGGAUAACUUCAGGAAACUGGGGCUAAUACCGGAUAGGAGCUCCUGCUGCAUGGUGGGGGUUGGAAAGUUUCGGUGGUUGGGGAUGGACUCGGGGCUUAUCAGCUUGUUGGGGGGGUAGUGGCUUACCAAGGGUUUGACGGGUAGCCGGCCUGGGAGGGUGACCGGCCACCUUGGGACUGAGAUAGGGACCAGAGUGCUACGGGAGGCAGCAGUGGGGAAUAUUGCACAAUGGGCGGAAGCCUGAUGCAGCAACGCCGCGUGCGGGAUGACGGCCUUCGGGUUGUAAACCGCUUUCGCCUGUGACGAAGCGUGAGUGACGGUAAUGGGUAAAGAAGCACCGGCUAACUACGUG
rnacentral:rRNA from 1 species